rnacentral:lncRNA from 1 species
CCCAUUUCAGGAAGAGAAUGUGGGGCUGAGAAAAGUUAUCUAUUGCUCAAUUGGACCUCUCCAGUUUCUGUGAGACAAUGUCCUGGCCACAAGUCUGCACACUCCUUUGCUACUGGUCCUGUAAUGGCAGAACCUUUCAUCUCGCCUUUAUUGUUCACUGUGACCCCUGCAUUAUCUUCAAAAUAAAGAAACACGCCAUCUUUUCUGCGGUAUGACUUUCGUUGUCGAAUAACCACUGCUGGAUGUACCUUUUUUCUGAGCUCUGGUUUGCCUUUCUUGACUGUGGCCAUCACCGUGUCACCCACACCAGCAG